CCGGAAGCGGCGCGCCGCGGCUUCCGGUUGGCGGCGGCGGUUGCUCGGUAGCAGCGGCGCAGCCGAGGCCUCUGGCUGCGCGGUGGGGAAGCGGGGCCGCCGGCGGCUGCCGCGGGGCGGUUCUCGCGCCGCCCGAGACUCUCGCAGCGGGAGCCGAAGCCCGUCGCGGCUGGGCAGAGCGUGUGCUAGGAUAGCUGAGGAGAUGGAUGAUUUUUUUGUCUGCUGGCUAAUCACCCAAGCUGGCAAAGAUAUUCUGAGAAAAGAAUCCCAAGGGAAGAAAUGCUGCAAAUGCACAGAAGAGCAUUUGCACACGUUUGCAAAUGCACAUCUUCAUCAAGGACAUAAGGCAGUGAGUGCCAAUGAACGACUGACCUCUCGGAUGACUCAUAUUCCCUCAUUCUAUAGGAAACUGUGCUGGUAAAGAGGUAAAGAAACUGGAUACAAACUAUAAUGCCAUAUAUACCAUAUAAUAUAUAAUACCAUAUAAUGUCUAUGGCAGUUAUAGAUAAGACAGGGGCUCUGUGACAUUGUGAUGUUUAUUUUGGGUAAAAAGCUGAUGAAUUUACUGAUAUGUACAUGACCUGAAUAUUGCUAGUGUGGAUCUUUGUUUUAAUAUAUGUUGUUCCUUUUGAGAGUCAGUUUAUGUGGAAACCCUGUCCUCUGUUCUAGUGUUAACUCAGCUGGUUGGUUCAGUGACUAAACACGCACAAAAAUAGUUGCUCUUUUUUUCCUGCCCAUAARGAGCAGAAUGAACUGUUUACUUUGUUUUAUCUGAAGAGCAUCUAUACUUCAUUAUUGUAAAGUACAGGAGGAAGCUCUUGGGUGUUUUCUGAGACGCAGAGUGAUGCUAAAUCUUUUUGGUUUGAUGGAAGAGCUAUGACCUUACUUGAAGAUCAGUUUUUUCACAAAUGUCUUGGAUAAUCACUGAUUGUUUUCUAUUAGAAUAACACAUUUAUAAGAGCAGGGUAGAUGAAUGUCCCUCAGU
rnacentral:lncRNA from 1 species